rnacentral:rRNA from 1 species
AUUGAACGCUGGCGGCAGGCCUAACACAUGCAAGUCGAGCGAGCGGCGGACGGGUGAGUAAUGUCUGGGAAUCUGCCUGAUGGAGGGGGAUCACUACUGGAAACGGUAGCUAAUACCGCAUACCAUCAGAUGACCCCAUAUGGGAUUGGCUAGUAGGUGGGGUAACGGCUCACCUAGGCGACGAUCCCUAGCUGGUAUGAGAGGAUGACCAGCCACACUGGAACUGAGACACGGGCCAGACUCCUACGGGAGGCAGCAGUGGGGAAUAUUGCACAAGGGGCGCAAGACUGAUGCAGCCAUGCCGCGUGUAUGAAGAAGGCCUUCGGGUUGUAAAGUACUUUCAGCCGGGAGGCGUUACCCACAGAAGAAGCACCGGCUAACUCCGUGCCAGCAGCCGCGGUAAUUC